UUACACUUAAAAGGAGCAGGUAUCAGGCACGACCUGUCAGCCCAAAACACCUUGCUACGCCACACCCACAUGGGUACUCAGCAGUAAUUGAUAUUAAGCAAUGAGUAAAAGCCACCUUAAGCUCGACUUAGUUAUGAUCACUAGGGCCGGUUAACCUCGUGCCAGCCACCGCGGUUAUACGAAGGGCCCAAAACAGCAGACACCGGCGUAAAUUGUGACUAGAGACACCACCUUAAACAGGAAGAAAUAAACCACACCCUAACCGUAAAACAUAGGCUAAAUGAAACCCUCCACUCUUCUUACACAAGGUUGCUUGAACCCACGAAAACUAAGAAACAAACUAGGAUUAGACACCCUACUAUGCUUAGACGUAAACAAGACACUACACAACUAAAGUGUCCGCCAGAGAAUUACAAGCGAAAAGCUUAAAACUCAAAGGACUUGGCGGUGCUCCGUACUCAACUUAGAGGAGCCUGUCCUAUAAUCGAUACUCCACGAUAAACCCUACCAUCUUUUGCCAACCCAGCCUAUAUACCGCCGUCGAAAACUUACCCCAUGAGGGAUAAAAAGUAAGUAAAAUAGUUAAUCACUAACACGUCAGGUCAAGGUGUAGCUUACAAGAUGGCAGAGAUGGGCUACAUUUUCUAACAAGAACACACGGCAAUGGGCCAUGAAAUACCCCCACGAAGGCGGAUUUAACAGUAAGAUAAUUAAGAAAAAU
rnacentral:rRNA from 1 species